AUCAAGCUAUGCUUGGUAUUGGGCCCUCGUCCCCCCCUUUGCGGGGGGUCGUGCCCCGAAACCUUCGGCGAAGUCGCAUCGGCUUUGGGCGUAGUAGUAUUUUCCACAACGUUCACGAGUCCGGCGAGGCCUUCUGCCGCCAAAACACCAAAAUUUUAAAGGUUGACCUCGGAUCAGGUAGGGAUACCCGCUGAACUUAA
rnacentral:misc_RNA from 1 species